GUGCUUGCUUCAAGCAGCACAUAUGCUAAAAUUGCAACAGUACAGAGAGGAUUAGUGUGGCCCCUGUGCAUAGAUGACAUGCAAAUUUGCGAAGCAUUACAUUUCUUA
rnacentral:snRNA from 1 species